rnacentral:rRNA from 1 species
AUUGAACGCUGGCGGCAUGCUUUACACAUGCAAGUCGAACGGCAGCGCGGGCUUCGGCCUGGCGGCGAGUGGCGAACGGGUGAGUAAUGCAUCGGAACGUGCCCAGUAGUGGGGUAUAGCCCGGCGAAAGCCGGAUUAAUACCGCAUACGACCUGAUGGUGAAAGCGGGGGACCGAAAGGCCUCGCGCUAUUGGAGCGGCCGAUGUCGGAUUAGCUAGUUGGUGGGGUAAAGGCUUACCAAGGCGACGAUCCGUAGCUGGUCUGAGAGGACGACCAGCCACACUGGGACUGAGACACGGCCCAGACUCCUACGGGAGGCAGCAGUGGGGAAUUUUGGACAAUGGGGGCAACCCUGAUCCAGCCAUGCCGCGUGCGGGAAGAAGGCCUUCGGGUUGUAAACCGCUUUUGUUCGGGAAGAAAUCCUCUGGGCUAAUACCCCGGGGGGAUGACGGUACCGGAAGAAUAAGCACCGGCUAACUACGUG